rnacentral:rRNA from 1 species
GAUGAACGCUGGCGGCGUGCUUAACACAUGCAAGUCGAACGGAAAGGCCCAAGCUUGCUUGGGUACUCGAGUGGCGAACGGGUGAGUAACACGUGGGUGAUCUGCCCUGCACUUCGGGAUAAGCCUGGGAAACUGGGUCUAAUACCGGAUAGGACCACUUCUCGGAUGUUGUGGUGGAAAGUUUUUUCGGUGUGGGAUGAGCUCGCGGCCUAUCAGCUUUUUGGUGGGGUAAUGGCCUACCAAGGCGUCGACGGGUAGCCGGCCUGAGAGGGUGUACGGCCAAAGUGGGAAUGAGAUACGGCCCAGACGCCUACGGGAGGAAGAAGUGGGGAAUAUUGCACAAUGGGCGGAAGCCUGAUGCAGCGACGCCGCGUGGGGGAUGACGGCCUUCGGGUUGUAAACUCCGUUCGCUAGGGACGAAACGUUUUGUGACGGUACCUGGAGAAGAGGCACCGGCUAACUACGUG